UUUUAUUUCUGAGUAUCUGUUUACUUAUCUGUUUUUUUUUAUUCAAAAGAAUUUCAAGAAUUGUGAUGGAGCUCAGGAGGAAGGGUCCAGAAACCUUUCCAGAGUAAAACGUUUAAAAAAACAUUGAUUUCCCCUUUUUUUUUUCCUUUUUUCCUUUUUUUUUUUUGAAUUCAA
rnacentral:ribozyme from 1 species